rnacentral:rRNA from 1 species
ACGAACGCUGGCGGCAGGCCUAACACAUGCAAGUCGAACGCUCGUAGCAAUACGUGAGUGGCGCACGGGUGAGUAACACGUGGGAAUAUACCUUUCGCUUGGGGAUAACUUCGGGAAACUUAAGCUAAUACCGCAUACGCCCUAUGGGGGAAAGAUUUAUCGGCGAGAGAUUAGCCCGCGUCCGAUUAGCUAGUUGGUGAGGUAACGGCUCACCAAGGCGACGAUCGGUAGCUGGUCUGAGAGGAUGAUCAGCCACACUGGGACUGAGACACGGCCCAGACUCCUACGGGAGGCAGCAGGGGGGAAUAUUGGACAAUGGGCGCAAGCCGGAGCCAGCCAUGCCGCGUGAGUGAAGAAGGCCUUAGGGUUGUAAAGCUCUUUGGAGGGGGAAGAUGAUGACGGUACCCGAAGAAGAAGCCCCGGCUAACUUCGU